rnacentral:rRNA from 1 species
CCUACGGGUGGCAGCAGUGAGGAAUAUUGGACAAUGGAGGAAACUCUGACCCAGCAACGCCGCGUGAAUGAUGAAGGUCUUCGGAUUGUAAAGUUCUUUUCUAAGGGAAGAAGAUAGUGACGGUACCUUAGUAAUAAGCCUCGGCUAACUACGUGCCAGCAGCCGCCGUAAUAAGUAGGAGGGGAGCGGUAUCCGUAAUGACUGGGCGUAAAGGGUGCGUAGGUGGGUUGGCAAGUUAGUAGCGUAACUCCCAGGCUCAACCCUGGAACUACUACUAAGACUGUUGGACUAGAGUGCAGGAGGGGCAACCGGAAUUCCUAGUGUAGCGGUGGAAUGCGUAGAUAUUAGGAGGAACACCAGUGGCGAAGGCGGGUUGCUGGACUGUAACUGACACUGAGGCACGAAAGCGUGGGGAGCAAACAGGAUUAGAUACCCGAGUAGUC